GGGGGUUGGGCCCUAGAGGGAAGCCCGAGGCUGAAGCUGAAGAUGUGGGUCAAAUUCAUUCACGUCAGGACACAGAUGAGAUGGGAUAAAAGGUGUUGGAGAAUUACUACAUAUAGGGAAGAAAGCAGAGGAAGGCAUUGAGGCUCACGGACUCCUAGCUUGGAGCCGAUGGUACAAAGCUACGCUGUUACCCAAGACAGGUCACAGACUGAGGAAGAACUUUGCAGGAGGAAGGCAAUAAAUUCAGCUGUACACCUGUGAAGCCUACAGACAUCCAGGGAUGAUGCCAGGUUAUCAAAGAGUCUUCAGUUUGGUGGAGGACGGAUUUGCUCUAAAGCUCUUUGGAAGGAGAAAGAGAAGCAUUCUGCAGGAACCCUAGAAAUGAAACGCAACCAGCAAGCUGCCAUUUGUCCAGAGAAGCUCACACUCCCUGGGAAUUGGAAUAUUGGGUCUCAACCUGAAGAGUAGCUGGACAGAGACAGGAAUUCACAAAUAAAAGCUUUAAAAGAUAAUGCGAUCUACUUGCUUCCUACCUUGCCCACGGGAAGUAUAUGUUUGCCCUAUCUUUUGACUCCUAAUGUCAAGGCUCAGUACCCCUGAAAUAUCUAGGGCCUAAUUAGGCUGCCAUGAAGAAGUUCUAAAGGAGGAGCCCUCCAAGCAGCUCCCGCUCCUCUCCACCAUCCAGGAAAUAGGGGGCUGGCAGUGGCAGGAGCAAGACAAGCCACUGCCU
rnacentral:lncRNA from 1 species